GAUGAACGCUGGCGGCGUGCCUAAUACAUGCAAGUCGAGCGAACGGACGAGAAGCUUGCUUUUCUGAUGUUAGCGGCGGACGGGUGAGUAACACGUGGGUAACCUACCUAUAAGACUGGGAUAACUUCGGGAAACCGGAGCUAAUACCGGAUAAUAUUUUGAACCGCAUGGUUCAAAAGUGAAAGACGGUCUUGCUGUCACUUAUAGAUGGAUCCGCGCUGCAUUAGCUAGUUGGUAAGGUAACGGCUUACCAAGGCAACGAUGCAUAGCCGACCUGAGAGGGUGAUCGGCCACACUGGAACUGAGACACGGUCCAGACUCCUACGGGAGGCAGCAGUAGGGAACCUUCCGCAAAGGGCGAAAGCCUGACGGAGCAACGCCGCGUGAGUGAUGAAAGUCUUCGGAUCGUAAAACUCUGUUAUUAGGGAAGAACAUAUGUGUAAGUAACUGUGCACAUCUUGACGGUACCUAAUCAGAAAGCCACGGCUAACUACGUG
rnacentral:rRNA from 1 species